GACGAAAGCUGGCGGCGUGCUUAACACAUGCAAGUCGAACGGAAAGGCCCUGCUUUUGUGGGGUGCUCGAGUGGCGAACGGGUGAGUAACACGUGAGUAACCUGCCCUUGACUUUGGGAUAACUUCAGGAAACUGGGGCUAAUACCGGAUAGGAGCUCCUGCUGCAUGGUGGGGGUUGGAAAGUUUCGGCGGUUGGGGAUGGACUCGCGGCUUAUCAGCUUGUUGGUGGGGUAGUGGCUUACCAAGGCUUUGACGGGUAGCCGGCCUGAGAGGGUGACCGGCCACAUUGGGACUGAGAUACGGACCAGACUCCUACGGGAGGCAGCAGUGGGGAAUAUUGCACAAUGGGCGGACGCCUGAGGCAGCAACGCCGCGUGCGGGAUGACGUCCUUCGGGUUAUAAACCGCUUUCGCCUGUGACGAAGCGUGAGUGACGGUAAUGGGUAAAGAAGCACCGGCUAACUACGUG
rnacentral:rRNA from 1 species